GACUCCCUCAAGGUAGCCGCCGCGGACUGUGGCUGAAGAUAAUUUUUGGCAGGCGCAGACAAACCCGGCCUCCCUUUGUGGAGUUGUGGACUGUCACUUCCAGGGAUAACCAUCAAGUCCUCCAGGUUCAUAGUGAGGGGCUGAACCCUGCUUAGAGGGAUGUAACUGCAAGGUUGUGAUGUCAGAGCCUAGUCUUGCUAGUUAAGAAUAAUUUCCUGGCCAGGAAAUUAUUCUUAAUUCCAUGGCUCACGCCUAUAAUCACAGAACUUUGGGAGGCCGAGGUGGACAGAUCACUUGAGCCCAGGAGUUCGACACCAGCCUGGGCAUGGUGAAACCUCAUCUCUAUUUAUAAAAAUAAAAAUAUAAAUUUUUAAUAAUAUUUUCCUUUAUUAUUUAUAAUCUGUUUGCUGAGAGUAUUUUCCUUCAUUGUGAGUCUCUUGAGAGCCUUUGAAGCACUGAUCUGACAUUUCCAUAACUGGAAAUAAUUAACUGUGUUUUUAUUAUUGAGGCUUCAUUUUCUUGACACCUAAGGUGACUAUCUUCUGUCUCAUAUAUUCCUCUCCCUGAAUUGCCAUCACCACAACAGGCCUAAGUCCAAUUUCUUUUCCUAUAUACAGGACGUUACAUCUCUAAGCCAGAUGUGAUUUCCUCAUUGAAGCAAAGGAGAUAGCCCUGAAUGUGGAGAGAGUAAUGUGUUAAGGUGGCUCAAAGAAGAGGGAAGCCAUUGCAGGUAAAUGCUCAGCUGAUAUGAAGAGUCAAAACUUCAAGGUAUUAUUUGAGAAACUUUGCCCUCAGUGGCCAGGGGAGAGAACUGAGGUCCUUUCAGUCCUUUCUAAAGACAUCUCACCAUCAUCCCCCUGUGUCACUGUGCCCGUAGCUCCUUCUAUAAUUCUUCUAGUUUUAAGGAGGGAAGGAUUAGCCUUAUAGAGUUUCUGACUGUAAAAGAAAUACAUACUGAGCAUUAAAAUUCAGAAAACAGAGAAUCCUACUUUGCACAGCAAAGGAAACAACAGAAUAAAGAGACAACCCAAAGACUGGGAGAAAACAUUUGCAAAUCAUAUAUUGGAUAAGAGGCUAAUAUCUAAAAUAUAAAAGGAACUCAGACUUCUUAACAAUAAGAAUACAAAUAACUGUAUUAAAAAUGGGCAAAAGACUUGUAUACAUUUCACAAAAGAAGACAUACAAAAUGCUAAACAUUGCUAAUCAUCAGAGAAAUGCAAAUUAAAACCACAAUGAGAUAUCACCAUGCACCUGUUAGGCUAUUAUAAACAAAUAUGAACGAUUAGUGUUGGUGAGGAUGUAGAGAAAAGGCGCAUUCGCACACUGUUGAGGGCACUGUAAAUCAGUACAGCCAUUUUGGAAAACAGUGUAGAGCUUCCUCAAAAAA